CAAUAGCGUAUAUUAAAGUUGUUGCAGUUAAAAAGCUCGUAGUUGAAUUUCUGGCGGGCGCGCCGGUCUUCCAAGUGUUGUACUGGGCGCAGUCCGCCAUCCUUGUGGAGAGGGCUCGCAUUGAGUUGCGUGUCGGAUCUGCAUCAUUUACUGUGAAAAAAUUAGAGUGUUUAAAGCAGGCUGUCGCUUGAAUACAUUAGCAUGGAAUAAUAAGAUAGGACUUCGGUCUAUUUUGUUGGUUGCGAACCGAGGUAAUGAUUAAUAGGGAUAGUUGGGGGUAUUCAUAUUUAAUUGUCAGAGGUGAAAUUCUUGGAUUUAUGAAAGAUGAACAACUGCGAAAGCAUUUACCAAGGAUGUUUNCAUUAG
rnacentral:rRNA from 1 species